UUCAACUCCCUCCUGUUCUUUGUAUUGCAAGACAUAGUUAAUGAAUGCUUCUUUACCUCUGGUAGUCAGCAUUUCAGAAACCUGUAUUAUGUGCCCCUUCAUCAUCUCUUUUCUGAUAGAUCUCUUAAAACAGUUAAUCUGCAUACAGAAGUUCCAUUGAAUCUGGACCAGGCCCGUAUUUGAGGUGGUUGGCUCAGAACUGCAGGCACUAUUCAAGGAGAGAAUGUGCCUUUCAUUUAGAUACUGUCAUAGCUGUGUAAAAGAAUUACCUCCCUUGGCUGAGCUGAUCCGCGUUCAAGCUGUUUCUAACACGUGACUCAUAACUUUUUUUCCGGUGUGUACUGACAUUUAACUGGGCGGUGACUGGUGAGUUUAGAAGAAAGCAGGAAAAUGAAUUCCAGGUGAAUGCGUGAGCUCACCAGCUUCUGUACAGAUCAGAUUUAUCAAGAGCAUUACCAGAAACAGUGGGGCAGAUGAACAGUCUUGGGUUGUUGUGUUUCUUCUGUGUCAAGCUUCUAUUCCAGAUCUCCUGUGCAGAGAACCCUGAUGUAUCCAGAUGGAUCCAAGAUGACCAUAUUAUCCUGAUAGUUCUUGUUGUUAUGGUCUCCAUUCUCAGCCUCCUUGCCAUUGUGUUCCUCUUUUGCUACUGUGCAGGACGCCACUCAAAAGAUCCUGAAAGAGGGAGACUCAUCAAUAAGAAUGAAGGGGUGAAGAAGAGGGGAAGACAGACCAUGACAGACAGGAGAAAGGGAUGGAUCUGGGCCAAAUGGAAAGAGAGGGGGUUCCCUAGGAGUUGGAGGCAAGUUCAUGUUGGGCAGAUUGUGUUACCAGCAACAUUUCAAAACCCAGAAAUAGGAUGUGUACUCGCAAAAAUAUUUUUCACUCUUUUACAGAAAAUGUGGCUGUAGUAUCAGGUAAGUCUAUC
rnacentral:lncRNA from 1 species